rnacentral:tRNA from 1 species
UUAUUUUGGCAGAUUAGUGCAAUGAAUUUAGAAUUCAUAAAUAUAAUUAUAUUAUAAAUAAUA